rnacentral:tRNA from 1 species
GGUGGGGUUCCCGAGCGGCCAAAGGGAGCAGACUGUAAAUCUGCCGUCAUCGACUCGAAGGUUCGAAUCCUUCCCCCACCACCA